CAGGAUAAAGGCCCGGGCAAAGUUUUAGAAAUGGAGAUCUCAAGCACUUCACAAGAAAAGUCUAUGCCUGCUGAAAAGAAAGAAGCUUUAAGCUGCGUACUGUCUGGAGAUGAAAUGCAAGCUGCUCAUAAUUAUCCAAGGCAUGUGCCUGUGCAUGUGGUAGAUGGAAGCUUGGGAGCAAAUGUUCAAGGGUCAGUAACCGAUACUCUGCUGCAGGAAUCCACUUUUCAUCCAGCAAUGGAGGUUCGAGGAGAGCAUAAUAUAAUUGGGAAUCCAUCUGAUUGUGUUUCCUUUGAACAUCAAAAUAAUGCACCUAGGUGCGUUUAUCAAUCAUAUCCAACAAUUCAUCCUACUCCAUUUACCUUACUUCGCCCUAACCAAGAGCAUUAUAAGUCACUUCUGCACAUGUCCUCCUCAUUUUCAAAUCUUGUUGUGUCUACCCUUCAACAAAACCCUGCUGCUCAUGCAAUAGCUAGUUUGACAGCAACAUGUUGGCCCUAUGUGAAUCCUGAAACUUCUGUAGAUUCUCCCGUUUGUGAUAAGGAAGGUUCUGGAACCAAGCAAAUGAACCCCACCCCAAGUAUGGAAGCCAUUGCU
rnacentral:lncRNA from 1 species